UGUCCAUCUCUAAUACUCAGC
rnacentral:misc_RNA from 1 species